rnacentral:rRNA from 1 species
GAACGCUAGCGGCAUGCCUAACACAUGCAAGUCGAGCGAACAGAUAAGGAGCUUGCUCCCUGACGGCGAGUGGCGGACGGGUGAGUAACACGUAGGAAUCUACCUUAAUUAUAAUAGUUAGUGGGGGAUAACCCGGGGAAACUCGGGCUAAUACCGCAUAAUCUCUUCAAAGCAAAGCGGGGGAUCUUCGGACCUCGUGCUAUGAGAUGAGCCUGCGUCGGAUUAGCUAGUUGGUAGGGUAAUGGCCUACCAAGGCGACGAUCCGUAGCUGGUCUGAGAGGACGAUCAGCCACACUGGGACUGAGACACGGCC